GACGAACGCUGGCGGCGCGCUUAACACAUGCAAGUCGAGCGAGAACCAGGGCUUCGGCCCUGGGGACAGCGGCGAACGGGUGAGUAACACGUGGGUAAUCUGCCCUCGGCACCGGAAUAGCCCGGGGAAACCCGGAUUAAUGCCGGAUGGCCCCUUCACCUCGCGAGGUGUCGGGAAAAGGUAGCUUCGGCCUCUGGCCGAGGAUGAGCCCGCGGCGGAUUAGCUUGUUGGCGGGGUAACGGCCCACCAAGGCGAAGAUCCGUAGCUGGUCUGAGAGGACGAUCAGCCACACUGGGACUGAGACACGGCCCAGACUCCUACGGGAGGCAGCAGUGGGGAAUCUUGCGCAAUGGGCGAAAGCCUGACGCAGCGACGCCGCGUGAGGGAAGAAGGCCUUCGGGUUGUAAACCUCUUUCAGGAGGGACGAAGCUACUCGGGUGAAUAGCCCAGAGGGUGACGGUACCUCCAGAAGAAGCCCCGGCUAACUACGUGCCAGCAGCCGCCGUAAUAC
rnacentral:rRNA from 1 species